UGGGCGCAAGCCUGAUCCAGCCAUGCCGCGUGAAGGAAGAAGGCCUUCGGGUUU
rnacentral:rRNA from 1 species